UACGGAGGUGGCAAGCGUUGCUCGGAAUCACUGGGCGUAAAGGGCGCGUAGGCGGGGAGGUAAGUCGGGUGUGAAAUCCCUCGGCCCAACCGAGGAACUGCGCCCGAGACUGCUUCUCUUGAGUCCCGGAGAGGAAGGUGGAAUUCCCGGUGUAGCGGUGAAAUGCGCAGAUAUCAGGAGGAACACCGGUGGCGAAGGCGGCUUGCUGGGCCUUACCUGACGCUGAGGAGCGAAAGCGUGGGGAGCGAACAGG
rnacentral:rRNA from 1 species